UUGCACGCUGGCGGCAUGCUUUACACCUGCCAGUCGAACGGUAACAGGCCUUCGGGUGCUGACGAGUGGCGAACGGGUGAGUAAUGCAUCGGAACGUACCCAGAGGUGGGGGAUAACGCAGCGAAAGCUGUGCUAAUACUGCAUGUGAUCUGAGGAUGAAAGCGGGGGACCGAGCAGCAAUGUUUUGCCUCGCGCCUUUGGAGCGGCCGAUGUCGGAUUAGCUUGUUGGUGGGGUAAAGGCCUACCAAGGCGACGAUCCGUAGCUGGUCUGAGAGGACGACCAGCCACACUGGGACUGAGACACGGCCCAGACUCCUACGGGAGGCAGCAGUGGGGAAUUUUGGACAAUGGGCGCAAGCCUGAUCCAGCAAUGCCGCGUGCGGGAAGAAGGCCUUCGGGUUGUAAACCGCUUUUGGCAGGAACGAAACGGUGUCCGCUAAUACCGGGCGCUAAUGACGGUACCUGCAGAAUAAGCACCGGCUAACUACGUG
rnacentral:rRNA from 1 species